rnacentral:rRNA from 1 species
AUGGUACGGAAUUUCUGGUGGGGCUCGGCGGAGGGCAAGAGGAAAACGCAUUGGUUGGCAUGGCCGAAAAUUUUAGCACAUAAGACCAAGGGAGGCUUGGGCUUCAAAGAUUUCCGUCUCUUCAACCAAGCUCUCCUUGCUCGACAGGCGUGGCACCUCUUAAUUAAGCUUAACAGUCUGUGUGCGCAGGUACUAAAAGCUCGGUACUAUCCAGAUGGUCGCCUUGAGGAUACAGUGUUCUCCGGGAACGCAUCCUCGACCUGGCAGGCCAUACAGUAUGGCCUCGAGGUCUUGAAAAAGGGCAUCAUAUGGCGUGUUGGAGAUGGCCAAAACAUCCGGAUAUGGCGUGACCGAUGGGUGCCGAGGGAACCCUCGCGCCAACCUAUCAUGCGGCAAGGCACCUGCCGGCUGAGGAGAGUGGCGGAGCUUCUCGCGGCGGAUGGGUCCUGGCGUAUGGAUCUUCUCUGCCGACACUUCCUCCCGGCGGACGUCGAUGCGAUAUCCAACAUUCGCACCUCGCCCCGCUGCACUGAUGACAUCAUCGCCUGGGCGCCGGAGAAGAACGGUAUCUUCACCGUUCGUUCCGCCUAUCGGUUUGCCAUGGACGAGUGCGAGCGUCCAUUGGCCACCGCCAUGAGCAGGGCACCGGAUGGUCGUCGCGCCAUCUGGAAGACCAUAUGGGGGUGCCCUGCUCCCCCGAAGGUACGCGUGUUUGCUUGGCGGAUUGUGACCAACUCUCUAGCUACUUGGGCAAAUAAAUUCUCACGUCAUCUUGAGCUUUCUGACAUAUGCCCCAUUUGUGGUGUGGAACGAGAGGAUGGGUUCUAUGCGAUGUGCAGGUGCCCCCUUGCGAAGGAACUUUGGCAUGCCAUGGCGCUAGAUUGGGUCAUCCCGAGGGUUGAAUCCGUUCGCAACACGGGGCCAGAAUGGUUGUUCACCCUCCUUGAGCCUUUGGACGAGACGGCGCGUAUGAUCGUACGGAUGAUCAUGUGGAGGACUUAG